CAAUAGCGUAUAUUAAAGUUGUUGCAGUUAAAAAGCUCGUAGUUGGAUUUCUGGGAGGGUGCCGCCGUCCGGCGUGUCCGUGUGCAGUGGCGCCCUUCCAUCCUUCUGUUAGCGUCUCUUGGCAUUCAUUUGCUGGUGGCGGGCUCAGAUAUUUUACCUUGAGAAAAUUAGAGUGUUUCAGGCAGGCUAGGCCGGAAUACAUUAGCAUGGAAUAAUGGAAUAGGACUACGGUCUCUUUGUUGGUUUGAGGGACUGCAGUAAUGAUUAAUAGGGAUAGUUGGGGGCAUUAGUAUUUAAUUGUCAGAGGUGGAAUUCUCAGAUUUGUUAAAGACUAACUUAUGCGAAAGCAUUUGCCUAGGAUGUUUUCAUUAA
rnacentral:rRNA from 1 species